AUACAGAGGGUGCGAGCGUUGUUCGGAAUUACUGGGCGUAAAGCGCGCGCAGGCGGCCCUUUAAGUCCGUCGGUCAAAUGCCGGGGCUCAACCCCGAGCGUGCCGAGGAUACUGGAGGGCUGGAGACACGUAGAGGCAAGCGGAAUUCCGGGUGUAGCGGUGGAAUGCGUAGAGAUCCGGAAGAACACCGGAGGCGAAGGUGGCUUGCUGGGCGUGAUCUGACGCUGAGGCGCGAAAGCGUGGGGAGCGAACAG
rnacentral:rRNA from 1 species